rnacentral:rRNA from 1 species
GGCGGUAGGCCUUAUACAUGCAAGUCGAGCGAGAAAGUAUCUUCGGAUAUGAGUAGAGCGGCGGACGGGUGAGUAACGCGUAGGAAUCUACCUAGUAGAAGGGGAUAGCCCGGGGAAACUCGGAUUAAUACCGUAUACCUCCUUUGGGAGAAAGAGGGCCUCUCUUUGAUGCUCUCGCUACUAGAUGAGCCUGCGUAAGAUUAGCUAGUUGGUGAGGUAAUGGCUCACCAAGGCGACGAUCUUUAGCUGGUCUGAGAGGACGAUCAGCCACAUUGGGACUGAGACACGGCCCAGACUCUACGGGAGGCAGCAGUAGGGAAUAUUGGACAAUGAGCGCAAGCUUGAUCCAGCCAUACCGCGUGUGUGAAGAAGGCUUUCGGGUUGUAAAGCACUUUAAGCAGGGAGAAAAAGUUAUAGGCUAAUACCCUAUGACCGUGAUGUUACCUGCAGAAUAAGCACCGGCUAAUUCCGUGCCAGCAGCCGCGGUAAUACGGAAGGUGCAAGCGUUAAUCGGAAUUACUGGGCGUAAAGCGCGCGUAGGUGGUUUGUUAAGUUGGAUGUGAAAGCCCUGGGCUCAACCUAGGAACUGCAUCCAAAACUAACUCACUAGAGUACGAUAGAGGGAGGUAGAAUUCAUAGUGUAGCGGUGGAAUGCGUAGAUAUUAUGAAGAAUACCAGUGG